CUACGGGCGGCAGCAGUGGGGAAUAUUGGGCAAUGGAGGAAACUCUGACCCAGCGACGCCGCGUGAGGGAUGAAGGCCUUCGGGUUGUAAACCUCUUUCAGCAGGGAAUAAGCGAAAGUGAAGGUACCUGCAGAAGAAGCACCGGCUAACUAUGUGCCAGCAGCCGCGGUAAUACAUAGGGUGCAAGCGUUGUCCGGAAUUAUUGGGCGUAAAGAGCUCGUAGGUGGUCGAUCACGUCGGAUGUGAAAUUCUGAGGCCUAACCUCGGACCUGCAUUCGAUACGGGUUGACUAGAGUGUGGUAGGGGAGACUGGAAUUCCUGGUGUAGCGGUGGAAUGCGCAGAUAUCAGGAGGAACACCGAUGGCGAAGGCAGGUCUCUGGGCCAUUACUGACACUGAGGAGCGAAAGCGUGGGGAGCGAACAGGAUUAGAUACCCGUGUAGUC
rnacentral:rRNA from 1 species